rnacentral:rRNA from 1 species
AUUGAACGCUGGCGGCAGGCCUAACACAUGCAAGUCGAGCGGAUGAAGGGAGCUUGCUCCUGGAUUCAGCGGCGGACGGGUGAGUAAUGCCUAGGAAUCUGCCUGGUAGUGGGGGAUAACGUCCGGAAACGGGCGCUAAUACCGCAUACGUCCUGAGGGAGAAAGUGGGGGAUCUUCGGACCUCACGCUAUCAGAUGAGCCUAGGUCGGAUUAGCUAGUUGGUGGGGUAAAGGCCUACCAAGGCGACGAUCCGUAACUGGUCUGAGAGGAUGAUCAGUCACACUGGAACUGAGACACGGUCCAGACUCCUACGGGAGGCAGCAGUGGGGAAUAUUGGACAAUGGGCGAAAGCCUGAUCCAGCCAUGCCGCGUGUGUGAAGAAGGUCUUCGGAUUGUAAAGCACUUUAGUUGGGAGGAAGGGCAGUAAGUUAAUACCUCGCUGUUUUGACGUUACCAACAGAAUAAGCACCGGCUAACUUCGUG